UAGGAUCAUUACUGAGUGCGGACCCCUCGCGGGUCCAACCUCCCACCCGUGUCUCUUGAAUACCCUGUAGCUUUGGCGGGCCCACCGGGUCGCCCCGGUCGCCGGGGGGCACUGCGCCCCCGGGCCUGCGCCCGACAGAGCGCUCUGUGAACCCUAAUGAAGAUGGGCUGUCUGAGUGUGAUUUUGAAUUAUCAAAACUUUCCACAAUGGAUCUCUUGGUUCCGGCAUCGAUGAAGAACGCAGCGAAAUGCGAUAAGUAAUGUGAAUUGCAGAAUUCCGUGAAUCAUCGAAUCUUUGAACGCACAUUGCGCCCCCUGGCAUUCCGGGGGGCAUGCCGGUCCGAGCGUCAUUUCUGCCCUCAAGCGCGGCUUGUGUGUUGGGUGUGGUCCCCCCGGUGUUGGGGUGACCUGCCCGAAAGGCAGCGGCGACGUCCCGUCUAGGUCCUCGAGCGUAUGGGGCUUUGUCACCCGCUCGGGAGGGGCCUGCGGGCGUUGGUCACCCACGAUAUUUUUUUUUACCGUUGACCUCGGAUCAGGUAGGAGUUACCCGCUGAACUUAAGCAUAUCAAUAA
rnacentral:misc_RNA from 1 species